AAAUUGAAGAGUUUGAUCAUGGCUCAGAUUGAACGCUGGCGGCAGGCCUAACACAUGCAAGUCGAGCGGUAGCACAGAGAGCUUGCUCUCGGGUGACGAGCGGCGGACGGGUGAGUAAUGUCUGGGAAGCUGCCUGAUGGAGGGGGAUAACUACUGGAAACGGUAGCUAAUACCGCAUAACGUCGCAAGACCAAAGUGGGGGACCUUCGGGCCUCAUGCCAUCAGAUGUGCCCAGAUGGGAUUAGCUAGUAGGUGGGGUAACGGCUCACCUAGGCGACGAUCCCUAGCUGGUCUGAGAGGAUGACCAGCCACACUGGAACUGAGACACGGUCCAGACUCCUACGGGAGGCAGCAGUGGGGAAUAUUGCACAAUGGGCGCAAGCCUGAUGCAGCCAUGCCGCGUGUGUGAAGAAGGCCUUCGGGUUGUAAAGCACUUUCAGCGGGGAGGAAGGCGGUGAGGUUAAUAACCUCAUCGAUUGACGUUACCCGCAGAAGAAGCACCGGCUAACUCCGUGCCAGCAGCCGCGGUAAUACGGAGGGUGCAAGCGUUAAUCGGAAUUACUGGGCGUAAAGCGCACGCAGGCGGUCUGUCAAGUCGGAUGUGAAAUCCCCGGGCUCAACCUGGGAACUGCAUUCGAAACUGGCAGGCUAGAGUCUUGUAGAGGGGGGUAGAAUUCCAGGUGUAGCGGUGAAAUGCGUAGAGAUCUGGAGGAAUACCGGUGGCGAAGGCGGCCCCCUGGACAAAGACUGACGCUCAGGUGCGAAAGCGUGGGGAGCAAACAGGAUUAGAUACCCUGGUAGUCCACGCCGUAAACGAUGUCGAUUUGGAGGUUGUGCCCUUGAGGCGUGGCUUCCGGAGCUAACGCGUUAAAUCGACCGCCUGGGGAGUACGGCCGCAAGGUUAAAACUCAAAUGAAUUGACGGGGGCCCGCACAAGCGGUGGAGCAUGUGGUUUAAUUCGAUGCAACGCGAAGAACCUUACCUGGUCUUGACAUCCACAGAACUUUCCAGAGAUGGAUUGGUGCCUUCGGGAACUGUGAGACAGGUGCUGCAUGGCUGUCGUCAGCUCGUGUUGUGAAAUGUUGGGUUAAGUCCCGCAACGAGCGCAACCCUUAUCCUUUGUUGCCAGCGGUCCGGCCGGGAACUCAAAGGAGACUGCCAGUGAUAAACUGGAGGAAGGUGGGGAUGACGUCAAGUCAUCAUGGCCCUUACGACCAGGGCUACACACGUGCUACAAUGGCAUAUACAAAGAGAAGCGACCUCGCGAGAGCAAGCGGACCUCAUAAAGUAUGUCGUAGUCCGGAUUGGAGUCUGCAACUCGACUCCAUGAAGUCGGAAUCGCUAGUAAUCGUAGAUCAGAAUGCUACGGUGAAUACGUUCCCGGGCCUUGUACACACCGCCCGUCACACCAUGGGAGUGGGUUGCAAAAGAAGUAGGUAGCUUAACCUUCGGGAGGGCGCUUACCACUUUGUGAUUCAUGACUGGGGUGAAGUCGUAACAAGGUAACCGUAGGGGAACCUGCGGUUGGAUCACCUCCUUA
rnacentral:rRNA from 1 species